AUUGAACGCUGGCGGCAUGCUUUACACAUGCAAGUCGAACGGUAACAGCACUUCGGUGGCUGACGAGUGGCGAACGGGUGAGUAAUACAUCGGAACGUGCCUAGUAGUGGGGGAUAACUACUCGAAAGAGUAGCUAAUACCGCAUGAGAUCUAAGGAUGAAAGCAGGGGACCUUCGGGCCUUGCGCUACUAGAGCGGCUGAUGGCAGAUUAGGUAGUUGGUGGGAUAAAAGCUUACCAAGCCGACGAUCUGUAGCUGGUCUGAGAGGACGACCAGCCACACGGGGACUGAGACACGGCCCAGACUCCUACGGGAGGCAGCAGUGGGGAAUUUUGGACAAUGGGCGCAAGCCUGAUCCAGCAAUGCCGCGUGCAGGAUGAAGGCCUUCGGGUUGUAAACUGCUUUUGUACGGAACGAAAAGCCCUCUUCUAAUACAGGAGGGUCAUGACGGUACCGGAAGAAUAAGCACCGGCUAACUACGUG
rnacentral:rRNA from 1 species